CGGAGCGAUGGUGUGCAAACCACGGAAUGGGGUGUUGACCUCAAGAGCUGGAGGAGGCACCAGACAUGACAAGUUCUUAUAUAAGCUACAAAAAUUGGAGGAAUAAGGAGCUGGAAUUGCCCAAAGAGGGCACAAUUCAGGAAAAGCUACAGUAAAAUCUCAGUUUGGGGACAAUAAGUGACGCAGAAGGCCUGAGCCAUUCCCCAGCCUGAGCCAUCCGGCUGUCACCGGGAGCGUUCGGUGCUCGAGGGAAUUACUGUGGUGCUGAUGAUUAGAACACAAAGCCAUCCCAUCAAGGAGAAGCUAAAAGCUCCACUACACAUAGAAGCCAAGGGUCAAGCUGUUCCCUGUAGACCUGUGUGCAGCCAAAGGGAGCCUGGGUUCCAUGCAGCAGCUGGCCGCAUCGGGGAGUGACACGGUAACUCAACCUGGCCAGAAAAUGUCAAUUAUUUUUGUAGUAAAUCUUUAGAAAUUAAAAAAAAAAAAUCCUGAGAAGUGUUUUGAGUGGAGGUGGAGAGAAGAAAAAUUUCGGGUUUUUAGAAACCCAAACUGUGACCAUUACCACCAAAUAACUGCCAAAAUGAAUUUUUUUGUAUCCAGAAAGCCAUUACGUUUACUGAAAAUACCAAUCAAAUA